AAUAUUGGUCAAUGGUGGCAACUCUGAACCAGCCAAGUCGCGUGAAGGAUGAAGGUCUUAUGGAUUGUAUACUUCUUUUGCAGGGGAAUAAAUAGCGGUACUUGUAACGUGUUGCAUGUAACAUGCGAAUAAGGACCGGCUAUCACCGUGCGAGCAGCCGCGGUAAUACGGAGGAUCCGAGCGUUAUCCGGAAUUAUUGGGUUUAAAGGGUGCGCAGGCGGGAGAUUAAGUCGGAGGUGAAAUUUUGCAGCUCAACUGUAAAAGUGCCUUCGAUACUGGUAUGCUUGAGUGUGGAUGAGGUAGGCGGAAUUUGUGGUGUAGCGGUGAAAUGCUUAGAUAUCACGAGGAACUCCGAUUGCGCAGGCAGCUUACUAAACCACUACUGACGCUCAGGCACGAAGGCGUGGGGAUCAAACAGG
rnacentral:rRNA from 1 species